CUUUUGAUAAAUCAAGUGCGCUAUAGUGAGCCACAGGAUCCGGGACAUGACUGCUGCUAUUGAAAAGGAACUGGAAGGUUUUAGUUGAUGAGUGAGUGAAUCCAAUACAUCAAAUAACCAAUAUUGGACAAAUGGGUUCAAUUCUGAGAGGUGACCUAAAUCAAAGGGUUCAGAUUGGGCGCCGCAGCUGCACUGAAUUCUCAAAAGGACUGAUGCCCUAGGUGCUGCUGGAAGAACCAAAAGUCUUGAUUGGUUUGCUGUUGGAGCCCUGCUUCCAUACUGGUGUUCUGCUGUGACCAUGCAUGAAGAUUGUAGGAAGCUACAACUCUUAAGAUGGUGAAAGAACUUCCCAGGAAAUUUACCACCUUUCCUCGUCUUAUAGAAGACGAAGCAGUUAUCAGGAUUGUCAAGGACAAGCGGAUAUUGAAUUAGAAAAAGAAACAAGUAGAAUUCAGGUAAUCUUAUUUGUACUGCUGGAACUCAGAUUUUUAGAUGAGAAAAGAGUCAUCUGCCUAUACUUAGCAGUUAUGAAUCAUCCGACAGUUGAACUCACUAUGAACCUAAGUAUCAUCGAACAAAUCGAUUAACUUAUAUAUUGAUUCAAACAAUGUUUGCUUCUUUUGAAUGUAGAAUGAAUGAACGUCUGAAUGUAGAAUGAAUGAAUGUUUGCUUUCUUUUGAAUGGAGAAGGAAUGUUUGAAUUGAA